rnacentral:lncRNA from 1 species
AUAUAUAUAUUUGCAAAUACUUUUUCUUGUUUAUAUUUUAUAUUAUAUUUAUUAGUUAUUCAUGUAAUCAUAUUGUUAAAUAUACAUUCAUAUUGUAAAAUAUACAUACAUAUUUAUUUUAUACAUUAUAAAGUGCCUAUUACAUGUAUACAUGAUUGCUGCAGAACCAUGGAUUGUAACUCAAAAUUACAACUAUACUAAAAGGCAACAAAAGCAUGUUUAACCCCGGUGCAUUUUUGCGCCUGUCCCAAGUCAGGAGCCUCUGGCCUUUGUUAGUCUUGUAUUAUUUUUAAUUUAAGUUUCUUGUGUACAAUUUGGAGUUUAGUAUACUAGUUCAUUAUCACUGAACUAGUAUAUAUAUUUAUUUAGGGACCAGCUGAAGGAUGCCUAUGGGUUCGGGAAUUUCUCGCUGCAUUGAAGACCUGUUGGUGACCUUCUGCUGUUGUCUGUUCUAUGGUCAGGUAGUUGUCUCUUUGACACAUUCCCCAUUUCCAUUCUCAAUUUUAACAGUAGUAUUCUGCUGUUCUAUAGUCAUAAAUCAAUAUGUGAAAACAAAUCUGGGUCACAAACCAAAGCUGAGGGAAACACAUUAACUAUAAGAAGAAAACACUGAACUGCAACAAAAAUAAACGCCAACAUACAUAGAAACAGACUAUUUGAUAACAUCAGUCAUAUUUUGGACUUGGUACAGGACAUUUUAAGAAAAAAAUGGGUUGAUCCUGUUUAUGGCUAGCCAAACCUCCUGUUUAUAUGGCAACUUAAAGUUGAAUUGUCUAGAUCUUUGUUUUCCACAUGUUUUUUGAGUCCUGUAUUAUGAAUCUCAGUUAUUUGUAUUUGUGGUAAAUAUGAUGUAAGAACCAAUUUGUCAUGGACAUAUUUUCAUGCACCAUAUAAUCAAUUUUGUACAACAUACACACAGUAUCAGAGACCAAAACAAAUGAAAUCAGAAUACCCUCUUUCAUGUGGCCUGAUUCCCACUGGGUAAGAAGAGGAUAAGUAGGUAAUAAACUAUUUUGAAAAAAGUGUCAAAAAGAAUUAUAGAGAGUUAAUUCAUGGUUCUGUAGUGAUGGCUAGCUGCUUGCCUUGUGUAUUUGCAAUUUAUGUUUUUUUGUUAUAUUAAACUUUACGCAAGUUUCUAAUUUAAUGAUAACAAUUGUCAGAUUAUUGUUAAGUUUUUAUUGAAAUAUUCCAAGAAUAUGUCUUAUUUGCCUUUUUACAGUUAUUUACUUAUUAUUUGUUUUAUAAUAAUUUUAGUCAAAGACUUGCAUUUUUAAAAUCAAAUUUAUAGAGAAUCAGCAUUUUCUCUGGUUAUCUAGUCAGUGGGACCAAUAUGAUACACUUUAUAAGAACAACAUGACUGCCUUCUAAUAUUUUAAUGUUUUGUUGUAUUAUUAUAAUCAAUUUAUAGAAAAAUCAGUUUUAUAUUUAUUUCUUACUAUUACAAAAACCAUCUAAUAUAGCAUCUUUUCAUUUAUGUCAGAAAUAUUUUAUUAACAGUGUCAGUUUUUCCUUAAUCAAUCAAGUACUGAAAAUUUAAAAAAUAAGUUUUUAUUAUUAAUAAUUUGUUUAUUUAAAGUAUUUGUAUUUAAAAUAUUUAGGGGAAAAUCUGCUAAUUUGCUUCGAAAGCCAGUGGACAUUUUUCAUUAAUUGCAAAAUUUUGUAUUGUAAAAGGAAUUUCCAUUUUGGAAUUUGAUAACUCCAAUUCAAAAGUAUGUUGCGUUUGAGACCCAUUGGUGGCCCUUGGCUGUUUCUGCUCUUUGACACAUUCCUGGUUUCCAUUCUAUUACAUAUAUCAUCAAAACAUUACUGUGACUUGACUGUUAGUGUUGAUAUCCACUUAUUGCAACUCAUUCAAAGUUCUGACCAAAUUGAAAUUUGUUUUAUUAAACAAAACUAUUCAGAAAUUUGGCUGCGAAUUUCUACAGCAGUUUGUCGAAAAUUCUGACCAGUUGAACAGUUUGGUUUAAAAAAAACAAAUUGCAAUUUAGUCAGAAUUUUGAUUUAGUUGCUAAAGGUGGAGAGCAACACUAACAGUCAAGUCACUGUAAGUAAAAUCUAUAAAUAGAUUGCUUUGAAUACUUUAAUCUCUCAAAGUAUUUUAAUGGCAGUAGUUUAUUGUUCAUGGUACUAAUGUUUGUAUUGCUAUUGCAUUUAAUGGUGGAAGGGAGUUUAAUUUAUUUAACAGGGUGUUUGAUGUAGCAUUUAUUUCAAAAUCAGUCAAUUUUGAAUCAUGAUGUUUUUAAUGAAUUCAUUUAUUUUGAAAUGAAAUUGAUAUGAAUUUGUUUUUAGUCACUUUGUAUUUUUUACAUUUUUUCAAUAUUUUUUAUCAUUAUUUCUCUGUGUUUUGAACAGAAUAGCUUUUGUCUGCUACAUGAGUAUCAUUUUAUAAAUAAAUUAUCUUAUAAAUG